rnacentral:lncRNA from 1 species
UAAGGGAGUAAGAACUCGGAGCCUCCCAGCUGGUCACUGAGCCCCAGAACAACACGGAGGGCAGAGGUGGAGGUACUGGUUUAAGUCCUGGAAUCCACUGUCUGAAGGCUGCAGUGUGUGAGGGCAGCACAGGGAGAGAGAAUUCACCCUGCCUCUGCCUUUUUGUUCUGUUCCUGCCCUCAGUGGCCCAGCUGAUGCCUGCACACGUUGGUCAGGGCAGAUUAUCUUCAGUGGGUUGUCCACUAAUGCUAAUGUUGAUUUCUUCUGGAAACGUCUGUACAGACACACCCAGAAAUGCCGGGAUCCCAGCUUUCCAUCCCUCUAAGAGGUCAAUUUCAUCCUUCCCUACAAGAAUCAGGAAAAUAAAUGUUACUUAA